rnacentral:rRNA from 1 species
CCCUUAGAUGUUCUGGGCCGCACGCGCGCUACACUGAUGCAUUCAACGAGCCUAUCCUUGACCGACAGGUCCGGGUAAUCUUUGAAUCUGCAUCGUGACGGGGAUAGAUUAUUGCAAUUAUUAAUCUUCAACGAGGAAUGCCUAGUAGGCGCAAGUCAUCAGCUUGCGUCGAUUACGUCCCUGCCCUUGUACACACCGCCCGUCGCUCCUACCGAUUGGGUGUGCUGGUGAAAUGUUCGGAUCGGCCGUUUGUCGCGGUUUCCGCGUCAUGUGGCUGAGAAGUUCAUUAAACCCUCCCACCUAGAGGAAGGAGAAGUCGUAACA